rnacentral:misc_RNA from 1 species
GAUGAAGAACGUAGCGAAAUGCGAUAAAUAGUGUGAAUUGCAGAAUUCAGUGAAUCAUCGAAUUUUUGAACGCACAUUGCGCCCCUUGGUAUUCCAUGGGGCAUGCCUGUUCGAGCGUCAUUUGUACCUUCAAGCUUUGCUUGGUGUUGGGUGUUUGUCUCGCCUUUGCGUGUAGACUCGCCUUAAAAUAAUUGGCAGCCGGCGUAUUGAUUUCGGAGCGCAGUACAUCUCGCGCUUUGCACUCAUAACGACAGCGUCCAAAAGUACAUUUUACACUCUUGACCUCGGAUCAGGUAGGGAUACCCGCUGAACUUAAGCAUAUCAAUAAGCGGAGGA